GGACGGUUGGCAGAGUCCGGUUGAUUGCAGUGGCUUGCUAAGCCGCCGAACGUCGUUUUGGCGUUCCGCGAGUUCGAAUCUCGCACCGUCCGCGA
rnacentral:tRNA from 5 species